rnacentral:rRNA from 1 species
UGGUGGAGUGAUUUGUCUGGUUAAUUCCGAUAACGAACGAGACCCCGUCCUACUUACUAGACUUGAGAUUAUUUUCAUCUCUUGAAUCUUCUUAGAGGGACAACUGGGGUAAAUCUAGCUACAUGAAAUGGGGCAAUAACA